GUAUAUAUUUGCGAGUUAACUAUUGGUUAUUGUAGUUCAGCCCGCAAGCACGAUGGGAGUGCAGUGUAAAGUGGACAGCAUGGCUCGCGUUGGGUGGUUAGUCGCUGUUAUUUUAAUGCUUUGCGCGUUUCCGGCGCAGGCAUUUGCAUCAUGUGACAUCAAUGAUUUUGUUCAAAUUAAUAACACAGACAUCGUACUGAAGCUUGAAGCGAUUUGCAGUUGCAACGGGUAAGUUUUUUUAUUUAUUUAUUUUUUUAUUGAUCACCAAUACAU